rnacentral:rRNA from 1 species
AAUCUUCCACAAUGGACGAAAGUCUGAUGGAGCAACGCCGCGUGAGUGAAGAAGGUUCUCGGAUCGUAAAGCUCUGUUGUAAGGGAAGAACGCGUACAGGAGUAACUGCCUGUCCCUUGACGGUACCUUAUCAGAAAGCCACGUCCAACUACGUGCCAGCAGCCGCGGUAAUACGGAGGUGGCAAGCGUUGUCCGGCAUUAAUGGGCGUAAAGCGCGCGCAGGCGGUCCUUUAAGUCUGAUGUGAAAGGCCACGGCUCAACCGUGGAGGGUCAAUGGAAACUGGAGGACUUGAGUACAGAAGAGGAAAGGGGAAUUCCACGUGUAGCGGUGAAAUGCGUAGGGAUGUGGAGGAACACCAGUGGCGAAGGCGGCUUUCUGGUCUGUAACUGACGCUGAGGCGCGAAAGCGUGGGGAGCAAACAG